rnacentral:rRNA from 1 species
AGAGUUUGAUCCUGGCUCAGGAUGAACGCUAGCGGCAGGCUUAAUACAUGCAAGUCGAGGGGCAGCACGGGUAGCAAUACCUGGUGGCGACCGGCGCACGGGGACGGGUGCGUAGCGCGUAUGUAAUCUACCAUUAACCGGGGAAUAGCCCAGAGAAAUCUGGAUUAAUGCCCCAUAGUAUUAUCGAAAGGCAUCUUUUGAUAAUUAAAGCUCAGGCGGUUUUUGAUGAACAUGCGUGUCAUUAGCUAGUUGGUAGGGUAAUGGCCUACCAAGGCGACGAUGGGUAGCUGGUCUGAGAGGAUGAUCAGCCACACUGGAACUGAGACACGGUCCAGACUCCUACGGGAGGCAGCAGUGAGGAAUAUUGGUCAAUGGGCGCAAGCCUGAACCAGCCAUCCCGCGUGCAGGAUGACGGCCCUAUGGGUUGUAAACUGCUUUUAUACACCAAGAAAAACCCCCACGUGUGGGGACCCGACGGUAGUGUAUGAAUAAGCAUCGGCUAACUCCGUGCCAGCAGCCGCGGUAAUACGGAGGAUGCAAGCGUUAUCCGGAUUCAUUGGGUUUAAAGGGUGCGUAGGCGGCUUUUUAAGUCAGUGGUGAAAUCCUGCCGCUUAACGGUAGAAUUGCCAUUGAUACUGCCAGUCUGGAGUAUGGUUGAGGUAGCUGGAAUGUGUCAUGUAGCGGUGAAAUGCUUAGAGAUGACACAGAACACCGAUUGCGAAGGCAGCUUACUAAGCUAUUACUGACGCUGAUGCACGAAAGCGUGGGGAGCGAACAGGAUUAGAUACCCUGGUAGUCCACGCCGUAAACGAUGAUCACUCGCUGUUUGCGAUACACAGUAAGCGGCUAAGCGAAAGCAUUAAGUGAUCCACCUGGGGAGUACGAUCGCAAGGUUGAAACUCAAAGGAAUUGACGGGGGCCCGCACAAGCGGAGGAACAUGUGGUUUAAUUCGAUGAUACGCGAGGAACCUUACCUGGGCUUAAAUGUAGAUUGCAUAGGGUAGAAAUAUCCUUUCCCUUCGGGGCUAUUUACAAGGUGCUGCAUGGUUGUCGUCAGCUCGUGCCGUGAGGUGUCGGGUUAAGUCCCAUAACGAGCGCAACCCUUAUCGUUAGUUGCCAGCGGGUCAAGCCGGGGACUCUAGCGAGACUGCCGUUGACAAAACGGAGGAAGGUGGGGAUGACGUCAAAUCAGCACGGCCCUUAUGUCCAGGGCUACACACGUGUUACAAUGGCCGAUACAAAGGGCAGCUACCGGGCGACCGGAUGCUAAUCUCAAAAAUUGGUCUCAGUUCGGAUCGGAGUCUGCAACUCGACUCCAUGAAGUUGGAUUCGCUAGUAAUCGCGCAUCAGCCAUGGCGCGGUGAAUACGUUCCCGGGCCUUGUACACACCGCCCGUCAAACCAUGGGAGCUGGGGGUGCCUGAAGUCUGCCACCGCAAGGAGCGGCCUAGGGUA